rnacentral:lncRNA from 1 species
UUGAGAAAAUUGUGAUACAUAGGACACCCAGUCAACAGCUCCGACAAAUCAGAGCCCGCCGUGUGGCAAGGCACGUUGACGCGGUGCUACGCGGGAAGCCACGUUGACGAUUCGCGUGUUCACGAUCGGACGGUCCGAAUUUGUUCCCGCGCGCAUGGACAGUCUGGAUUUGUUCACUUUUUAAAACGCGAUCAGACAGUCCAGAUCAAAUCACGAUGAAUGGUCCUGAUUCACUUUCUAUUUAAACACGAUCGGACGGUCCACAUCCACUUCCUAUUUAAACGCGAUCGGACGGUCCAGAUUAAAUCGUGAUGAAUGAUCCAUAUUCACUUCCUAUUUAAACGCAAUCGGACGGUCAAGAUCAAACGUGAUGAACGAUACAGAUUAAAAGAAUAUGAAUAUAAAUAACUCUCUUCACACCAAACCCUAACCCUAGCCGUCAGACCCCACCGCCAGAGAAGAAGAGCCAGUCGCCGGGAAGGUAGUCGACCGUCGUUUGCCGUCGCGCCGGAGCCACUUUCGACCGCCAAA